GGCGGUUCUCAGGUGAUGCACCCCAGAAUUGGGCUCCCUCCUCUUUGGUUCCGGGGUGCAUCACCUGAGAACCGCC
rfam:Myotis brandtii contig166624, whole genome shotgun sequence.